GACGAACGCUGGCGGCGUGCCUAAUACAUGCAAGUAGAACGCUGAAGAGAGGAGCUUGCUCUUCUUGGAUGAGUUGCGAACGGGUGAGUAACGCGUAGGUAACCUGCCUUGUAGCGGGGGAUAACUAUUGGAAACGAUAGCUAAUACCGCAUAACAAUGGAUGACACAUGUCAUUUAUUUGAAAGGGGCAAUUGCUCCACUACAAGAUGGACCUGCGUUGUAUUAGCUAGUAGGUGAGGUAAUGGCUCACCUAGGCGACGAUACAUAGCCGACCUGAGAGGGUGAUCGGCCACACUGGGACUGAGACACGGCCCAGACUCCCACGGGAGGCAGCAGUAGGGAAUCUUCGGCAAUGGGGGCAACCCUGACCGAGGAACGCCGCGUGAGUUAAGAAGGUUUUCGGAUCGUAAAGCCCUGUUGUAAGUCAAGAACGGGUGUGAGAGUGGAAAGUUCACACUGUGACGGUAGCUUACCAGAAAGGGACGGCUAACUACGUG
rnacentral:rRNA from 1 species